AACGAACGCUGGCGGCAGGCCUAAGACAUGCAAGUCGAGCGCCCCGCAAGGGGAGCGGCAGACGGGUGAGUAACGCGUGGGAACGUACCCUUUGCUACGGAAUAGCUCCGGGAAACUGGAAUUAAUACCGUAUGUGCCCUACGGGGGAAAGAUUUAUCGGCAAAGGAUCGGCCCGCGUUGGAUUAGCUAGUUGGUGGGGUAAUGGCCUACCAAGGCGACGAUCCAUAGCUGGUCUGAGAGGAUGAUCAGCCACAUUGGGACUGAGACACGGCCCAAACUCCUACGGGAGGCAGCAGUGGGGAAUAUUGGACAAUGGGCGCAAGCCUGAUCCAGCCAUGCCGCGUGAGUGAUGAAGGCCUUAGGGUUGUAAAGCUCUUUCACCGGAGAAGAUAAUGACGGUAUCCGGAGAAGAAGCCCCGGCUAACUUCGUGCCAGCCGCCGCAGUAACAC
rnacentral:rRNA from 1 species